UACGAAGGGGGCUAGCGUUGCUCGGAAUCACUGGGCGUAAAGCGCACGUAGGCGGAUUGUUAAGUCAGGGGUGAAAUCCUGGAGCUCAACUCCAGAACUGCCUUUGAUACUGGCGAUCUCGAGUCCGGGAGAGAUGAGUGGAACUGCGAGUGUAGAGGUGAAAUUCGUAGAUAUUCGCAAGAACACCAGUGGCGAAGGCGGCUCACUGGCCCGGUACUGACGCUGAGGUGCGAAAGCGUGGGGAGCAAACAGG
rnacentral:rRNA from 1 species